UACGUAGGUCCCGAGCGUUGUCCGGAUUUAUUGGGCGUAAAGCAAGCGCAGGUGGUCUAUUAAGUCUGGUGUAAAAGGCAGUGGCUCAACCAUUGUAUGCAUUGGAAACUGGUAGACUUGAGUGCAGGAGAGGAGAGUGGAAUUCCAUGUGUAGCGGUGAAAUGCGUAGAUAUAUGGAGGAACACCGGUGGCGAAAGCGGCUCUCUGGCCUGUAACUGACACUGAGGCUCGAAAGCGUGGGGAGCAAACAGG
rnacentral:rRNA from 1 species